AUCGAACGCUGGCGGCAGGCCUAACACAUGCAAGUCGAGCGGAGUGGCGGACGGGCGAGUAAUGCCCAGGAAUCUGCCCGGUAGUGGGGGAUAACGUCCGGAUAUGGGAGCUUAUACCGCACACCAUUAGAUUAGCUUAGGUCGGAUUAGCUAGUUGGUGGGGUAAAGGCCUAACAAGGCGACGACCCGUAACUGGUCUGAGAGGAUGAUCAGUCACACUGGGACUGAGACACGGUCCAGACUCCUACGGGAGGCAGCAGUGGGGAAUAUUGGACAAUGGGCGAAAGCCUGAUCCAGCCAUGCCGCGUGAGUGAAGAAGGUCUUCGGAUUGUAAAGCACUGUAGGUUGGGAGGCGUUACCAACAGAAUAAGCACCGGCUAACUUCGUGCCAGCAGCCGCGGUAAUUC
rnacentral:rRNA from 1 species